GUCAUAAGGCUGCUGCAGGAGCCGUCAGAUGAAAGGACAAAAACAUAGCGGAAGACUCCUUAAGAAUGCACCAUUAUUGAGAUGGCGUUUAUUAAAGAAGAGAUUAAAGAAGAGUUUGAAGACGUGAAGAUCGAAGAAACCCUCAGUGUGAAAAAAGAGGAUCCCGAUGAACAAACAGACAGAGCGAGACUGCCAGACAAUCAUCAACAGCCCGACGUUCCUCCGCAACAACCCAAACCAAAAGUACCAUUCAGAAGAAAGACACUGUUUGAAAAGGUCACCGAGAAAAAACGGCUGGAUCAAAUAAGAUCGAAAACCCGAAUUAAUAUCGGCGCUUCGUUUCAUCGCUGGAGACAGCUACAGCACUCAAAGGGGCUGAAAAACGACGCCAUGGUUGCAGAAUUUCUUUUGGACUAUUACGAGCGAACUACAACAUCCGCACCUUUGCUGUAUGGAACUGUAACGCCGCCACCCCCAGAUGAGUCGAUGGUUCAUUCUAAGCCUUGCAGCUAAUUAGACAGGAAGCGAAAGAGGAAAAUCAGUAUGAGAAACGUGAUGAUGUCCCGACUGGUGAAAAAUCCACAUGGGUUGAGGAGACUUCAAGUAAAGGAACCCCGAAAAUCAAAUCUAACAUUUGUUCACCGGCCCUCAGUGUGGAAAGAGCUUCAGUCAAAAACAAAACCUUGAAGUCCACAUGAGGAUUCACACCGGAGAGAAGCCUUUCACCUGCCGGCAGCGUGGAAGCAGUUUCAUUUAAAAGGGCCAUCUGAAGAAACACAUGAGGAUUCACAGCGGAGGGAAACCGCACACAUGUCAACACUGUGGAAAGAGUUUCAGAGCAGACCUAAACCUUAAAUACCACCUGCGAUGUCACUCUGGAGGAAGACCUUAUGCCUGCCCCCAGUGUGGGAAGAGCUUCACGCAGAACAACACUCUCAAUUUCCACAUGGAAAUCCACACCGGAGAGAGAUGUUUCAGCUGCCAGCAGUGCGGGAAAUGUUUCAGAGAUUGAAUAACCACACGACGAGCCACAGCGCAGAGAAGCCGUUCGCUUGUGAUCUGUGUGACAAGAGCUUCAGAGCUGAACCCAACCUCAGGUGCCACAUGAACAUCCACACCAGAGAGAAACUCUUCACCUGGGAUCGCUGCGCCAAAAGUUUCUCGCGUAAAGUCAGCCUCAAGUCCCACCUGAGACUUUACUCAGAGGACAACUGCUUUAAGUGUAGUCAGUGCGGAAAGUGUUUCAGUCAUAAAAGCAGGUUCGACACUCACCUGAGAAUUCACAUCGGAGAAAAGCCUUUCAGCUGCAAGCUGUGCGGGAAGAGCUUCUCGCAAAGAGGAAAUCGUCCAGUAUAUGUGAGGGGGCUCAUGAAAGAAUAAGAUUACGUUAAAACCAAGCACACCAUUGUUUUUCUUGUGAAAUGCUAAAUAAGUUUGAUCUGUCACAUGACCCUCUUCCUAUUGAAAAAAACAAAAGUUGGAUUCAAGAUGGCGACUUCAAAAUGGCCACCGUGGUCACCACCCAUCUUGAAAAGUUUGCCCCCUCACAUAUACUAAUGUGCCACAAACAGGACGUUAAUAUCACCAACCAUUCCCAUUUUAUUAAGGUGUAUCCAUAUAAAUGGCUCACCCUGGUCAUACACCAUUUUGUCAUAAUCACUUGACCCAACCAGGUGAGUUGCGUCACUUCACUCCCAUUCAUGUAUUCUGGCAUCAUGGGAUAGCAUAUCAUAUACUAUAUAGUAUGGAAGAAUGCAAUUUUGGACGCAGCCUUGGUCAAGAUGAUCUGCUGCAGUUCACACCGAGCAUCAGAAUGGGGAAGAAAGAUGAUUUAAGGGACUUUGAACGUGGCAUGGUUGUUGGUGCCAGACGGGCUGGUCUGGGUAUUUCAGAAACUGCUGAUCUACUGGGAUUUUCACGCACAACCAUCUCUAGGGUUUACAGAGAAUGGUCUGAAAAAGGGAAAAUAUCCAGUGAGCGGCAGUUCUGUGGGCGCAAAUGCCUGGUUGAUGCCAGAGGUCAGAGGAGAAUGGCCAGACUGGUUCCAGGUGAUAGAAAGGCAACAGUAACUCAAAUAACCACUCGUUACAACCGAGGUCUGCAGAAGAGCAUCUCUGAACACACAACAUGUCCAACCUUGAGGCGGAUGGGCUACAGCAGCAGAAGACCACACCGGCUGCCGCUCCUGUCAGCUAAGAACAGGAAACUGAGGCUACAAUUCACACCGGCUCACCAAACCUGGACAAUAGAAGAUUGGAGAAACGUUGCUUGGUCUGAUGAGUCUACAUUUCUGCUGACACAUUCAGAUGGUCGGGUCAAAAUUUGGCAUCAACAACAUGAAAGCAUGGAUUCAUCCUGCCUUGUAUCAACAGUUCAGGUUGGUGGUGGUGUAAUGGUGAGGGGGAUAUUUUCUUGGGCUCAUUAGUACCAAUUGAGCAUGGUGUCAACGCCACAGCCUACCUGAGUAUUGUUGCUGACCAUGUCCAUCCCUUUAUGACCACAGUGUCUUCAUCUUCUGAUGACUACUUCCAGCAGGAUAACGCACCAUGUCAUAAAGCACCAAUCAUCUCAGACUGGUUUCCUGAACAUGACAAUGAGUUCACUGUACUCAAACGGCCUCCACAGUCACCAGCUCUCAAUCCAAUAAAGCACCUUUGAGAUGUCGUUGAAAGGGACAUCCACAGAUCAUGGAUGUGCAGCUGACAAAUCUGCAGCACUGCGUGAUGCUAUCAUGGAGGUAAAUCUCUGAGGAAUAUUUCCAGUAGCUUGUUGAAUCUACGCCACGAAGGAUUAAGGCAGUUCUGAGCGCAAAAGGGGUCCAAGCCGGUACUAGUAAGGUGUACCUAAUAAAGUGGCUGGUGAGUGUGUUGCUGCAGCAUAAAUUGACUUGUUGCUGUUGACUAUUGUAUUGAGGCGUCACUUCAUCACAAAUAUCGAUAUUUCAAAAUGAAAAAUAAAAAGCUCUCCCACCAUUGAUGAAAUAAGUCAUCAAUUAGGACGAAAUGCUUCACCACCACUGACAAGUUUCUAAAGCAAUCUGUGUUUUAGGUAUAUUAUGAUAAGAGAAGCCUUAAUGCAGGUCCUGAGUUAUUUAAAGGACAUCUGAAGUUCUUUUGAGGGAAAUAUAAGCUUGUCAGAGAAAUUAAAAGUAAAAUGAUAAAUUCACUAUUGAUAACUGUUAGUAAUUAUAUGUGCACAUCAAAAUUAAAUAAACACUUAGUUAA